rnacentral:rRNA from 1 species
UGGGGGAUAUUGCACAAUGGGCGAAAGCCUGAUGCAGCGACGCCGCGUGGGGGAUGAAGGCCUUCGGGUUGUAAACUUCUUUUGCUCUGAACAAGGCAUGCUAAUGGGUGUGUUGAGUGUAGGGGUUGAUUAGCGCCGGCUAACUACGUGCCAGCAGCCGCGGUAAUACGUAGGGCGCGAGCGUUGUCCGGAAUUAUUGGGCGUAAAGGGCUUGUAGGUGGCUGGUUGCGUCUGUCGUGAAAGCUCAUGGCUUAACUGUGGGUUUGCGGUGGGUACGGGCUGGCUUGAGUGCAGUAGGGGAGGCUGGAAUUCCUGGUGUAGCGGUGGAAUGCGCAGAUAUCAGGAGGAAUACCGGUGGCGAAGGCGGGUCUCUGAGCUGUUACUGACACUGAGGAGCGAAAGCAUGGGGAGCGAACAGG